rnacentral:tRNA from 1 species
UGGGGUUGUGGCUCAGCGGGAGAGCGCUUGCCUCGCACGUGUGAGACCCUGGGUUCGAUCCUCAGCACCACAA